CGCAAGCCUGAUGCAGCCAUGCCGCGUGUAUGAAGAAGGCCUUCGGGUUGUAAAGCACUUUCAGUAGGGAGGAAGGUAGUGUAGUUAACACCUGCAUUAUUUGACGUUACCUACAGAAGAAGCACCGGCUAACUCCGUGCCAGCAGCCGCGGUAAUACGGAGGGUGCGAGCGUUAAUCGGAAUUACUGGGCGUAAAGCGACAUGCAGGCGGCCUGUUAAGUCAGAUGUGAAAGCCCGGGGCUUAACCUCGGAAUUGCAUUUGAAACUGGCAGGCUAGAGUCUUGUAGAGGGGGUAGGAAUUUCAGGUGUAGCGGUGAAAAUGCGUAGAGAUCUGAAGGAAUACCAGUGGCGAAGGCGGCCCCCUGGACAAAGACUGACGCUCAGAUGCGAAAGCGUGGGGAGCAAACAGGAUUAGAUACCCUGGUAG
rnacentral:rRNA from 1 species